rnacentral:tRNA from 1 species
GGCUGGGGUGCGGUGGUGGUGGCGGGGCUGAUGGGGUCAGCCGAAGACGCUGCGGAUGUCUUCCCCGGCGUUCGGGCCGCCCGUCGCCAC